rnacentral:rRNA from 1 species
GUAGGGAGCAAGCGUUGUUCGGAAUUAUUGGGCGUAAAGAGCGCGUAGGCGGCCAGGUAAGUCUGGUGUGAAAUCCCACAGCUCAACUGUGGAACUGCAUUGGAAACUGCUUGGCUAGAGUGCGGGAGAGGAGAGUGGAAUUCCCAGUGUAGAGGUGAAAUUCGUAGAUAUUGGGAGGAACACCAGUGGCGAAGGCGGCUCUCUGGACCGCAACUGACGCUGAGGCGCGAAAGCUAGGGGAGCGAACGGGAUUAGAUACCCCGGUAGUCCUAGCCGUAAACGAUGGGCACUAGGUGUGGGAGGUAUCGACCCCUUCUGUGCCGUAGCUAACGCAUUAAGUGCCCCCCGCCUGGGAGUACGGUCGCAAGCUA